CCUAUUUUCCCUUCUCAUUCUUCAUUGCCUGCCCCCUUCCCCUCGAAAAUUUUCCUUCCCGUCACCGUCACCCAUCGCUCGGCCGCUCGUCCAAACUAUCACCAUCCAUCCAGCCAUCCGGUCGACACAUCUCAAAUCUCGUGGCCAAAGCCUCCCCCUAGCGCGCCGCCUCGAAACUCAAGCCGACCGAUCCAAUCGCGUGACCCAUACUAGUCCAGCCACGCCGUUGUCCAGAUUUAGUCCUCACGUAGCCGCUCGCUCGCCUGACACUGCCGCCAUUGGAAUCUCACCGUCAAUUGAAUCUCCUCCUCCCUACGAGCCAUUGAUCCCUCCGCCGCUUGUCUCUCCCUCUCUCUUUCAGAUCUGACGACAUCGCAAGCCCCUCAGAUGUUCACAGCCACUGUUCUGUUGCCACAGUUGUUCGUGUGCCUCCCUCAGAUCAUCGUAGGCUGCCUUUAUUGUCAAAGUUAGUGGUUUUAGGUAAGUUUUGUUGUUUGGACUAAGGUUUGGGUAUUUUUCUUGGAAUUUAUAAAUGUUCAACAAGUUCUUGGCCUAAAAUCUCUUGGGUUUAUCUUAAAGAUGGAAUUGGAAUUUUUUCGAAAGGAAUUUAGGUGUUGUUCAUUGGAACUAAAAUCUAUUUCAGUGGAGAUUUUGAAGACUGAAUUUUUUUGGAGUGAGUAUUCACCAACCUUUGUCUUGAGGAUCUAAUUCAAAGUUUGUGAAAGCUGGAAAGAAGUUCGUUUGCUUGAAUUAAUUUUAGGCUCAAUUUUAAGAUAAAGCAGGGACACACUGGCGAAUGACAAGCGAAAUCCGUGAUCAAGCCAUUGGGACCAGUUUUAUGCUUCCACUCAUGAGAUUUAGAUUUCUUUUCAUGUUUUUCUUAACUUCUAGUUUUGAUGUUUGAAACUUACUAUUAAGAAUUGUUUUCAGACAUAUUUAUUAUCA